ensembl:snRNA U1 U1 spliceosomal RNA
AGUCCUUUCUGGAAGGGGAGACAUUUUGUGCAUGAAAAUGAUUUUCCUAAGAUGAGGCUUGUCCAUUGCAUUUUGGAUGUAUUGACCCCUGAGAUUUCCCUAAGUAUGGGAAAUUUGACGGCAUAAAUGAAU